CACAAAACGUCACGGAUUCGGGGGUCAUGGAAUCAUGACGUAAGCGGCAGUGUACGGUCAACAUGGUUGAUUGCGGGAGCCCGCAGUGUGCUCAAGAGCGGCGAAAUUUUAGGAAAGAAUUACUCUCAUGGAGCAAGAAAAUUCCCGUCACCAUUGCCUUAGAAAAAAUUGCUGAAGAAUUCGCAGGGAAGGAUGUUCUACGGCCUGUCCUUGAUCAGUUUAAUAGUCUUGAGCCAGAAGAGAUCUCUGACUGGGUUCCGGAAGAAGAAUGUUUUUACUGUGAGGGCAAGCUGCCCUUGAUAGACGAUGUUGUCAGUCGGUUGGCAGAAGAUGUCAAGAAUGGACGGUCGGAACAGGACAAUCCCAGUGUUCGACUACUACAAGAGCUCCUGCCCUACUGCCCUCAGUUCUACACACACGGACUAGGCAGAGAUCGCCUUGACUCUUCUGUGGGGAGUAAGCAGACGCCAACGGCAGGAGAGGACAGUGAGGUUUCAGUGCCGUCUGCUAAGCCUCAUGUAGAGCUUAAGAUACCACACAUACCACUACACGCCAGUAAACACAAAAAGGACUGCACUGUGAACGGCAAGAAGUCGUACACAGAUGACGAACUGACAGCAGCUGUUCACGACAUCCGCAGCGGGAAGCUUGGUACAAGGAGAGCGGCCAUGUUGUAUGGAAUCCCACGGUCCACAUUGAGGAACAAGAUCUUCAAACUGGAGAGUGAGGAUGCCCUUCAGCCUGACAUGGAGCAGGAAGAUUCGAGUUCCGCAGAGGAUCUCCUGAGCCUGGAGGGACACAGCAUGAAGCUGGCUGAUCUCAUGCAGGCCAGCGCUUUCACCUACACGCUGCCCCCUCUCCCAUUCGCACUACCCUUCAGGAAAGACUUCGACCUUGAGGAACAAGAGGAAGAAUUCGUAAGAAGGGUUGAAUUACUCCGUCGUAAACAUAAUCUUGAUGGAUCUCAUGAUAACUUACGAACUCCUGCACAUGCCAACGAACUGAAAAUGCCUCUUUUGGUGGACUUGAUUCGUAGAAUGGUAGAACAACGACUAGCUAUGGAGCGCCAAAGUGCCUCAGUCACCAUUAAAGCAGAGCCUGAUGUUUGUGUAGAAAAUUCUCUAAUUGAUGGAUUAACCAUGAAGAACCCAUUUCUGCCAUCCUCCCUCCCCUCGACCGCCACGUGCCUCGGCAUGACAGCUGCAAGUCUGGCUGACAUCCGCAUUCCGUCCUACAAGCCGGUUAAUGGCACCAAGGACAACCACACCUUGCCAGACAAACCCAUGGCCAAGGUAUACGAAAGCAGCACGAUAGGCGAAACACUCAAGAAUAUCAUUGUUAGAUCUAUCAAUGAGAAAAUCCGUUUUCGUGAAACACGUGAAGAUAGUUCUGGGACUGCAACUCCGGAGGACCUCUACAAGGUGAGCCCAGAUGAUAUGAGCUCUCAUGCCAGCACCCCCAUCACGCUGGCCCCGCCUCACGCUUACACCACAUCACACUCAUCUCCAUCGCCACCGAAACGACACAAGAAGGACUCGGACAAGGACAAAAGCUUCUUGUCAUCCUCGACACUCAAGAAGACGAGGCCAAAGCGAGGUCAGUAUCGCAAGUACAACAGUCAGUUGUUAAUGGAGGCUGUGCGUGCGGUGCAGCGGGGGGAGAUGAGCGUCCAUCGAGCUGGCAGCUACUUCGGGGUGCCUCACUCCACGCUUGAGUACAAAGUCAAGGAGAGACACCUCCUUCGUCAGAAGAAGCCACGGGAAACAACUUCGAGCCAAAAGCAAACAGCAGCUGUCACCUCCACAUCAUCCUCAACAGCUACAUCAUCCACAGCAACAGCCGUAGUAAGCACAGCCUCUGACAGUAAUUCUUCAAACAGCAGCAUCACAUCUGCCUCUACAUCAACAACAACAGCAGCAGCAGCAGCCAAAUCGGAGAGUGCCCCACUCAGUGCCUUAGGGCUGGGAGCCCCUAAGCAGAGUAGCAGCGGAUUGCCUUGGUUCCAGCCCUACCUAAACGGCAGCCCCCACUUCGACCCCGCCAUGGGCUUUUUCCACUCUGGUUUUGCCCUCAACACCCCAGCCUCUGAGCUUCUGCGAAAGCUGCAACACAAGUCUGAUGCCUUCAUUUGUCGACCUGGAAGAAGGAUCCCACGGGUAGGUGAUGUCGCACGGCGGUAGGGCGGCCAUCAGGUACUCACUUCACCCUCCCACUGUCACACUCCUCUCAUACGCUUACAAUAUAUGCCUUGGUUCUCAUUCUUCCCACGCCCAUCUAUGGGAAUAGCUUGGAUGUAAGUUUGUUUUCUUUUCAAAAGGGAGUUUACAAAGAUGUAUUAUUCAGAUCGGUUUGUCCUCAACUUUCAUGACAGUGGAAUUCUUUACCUCAAGUUUGUGUGUGUGAUUUGAAUCAUUUUAUAUGGAAGUUUUUUCAGAUUCGUAUAAUUUAUUUGUACAUUGAUUGUUGAUUGAAGACAUAAUGUGAAAAAACUUGUCAGAAUCCGUAUGAGGGGCUGUUGUCUUGAGGGAUACUGGUUAAAAUGUGAGAAAGAAUUUUCUAAGUGGCUACCAGUGUCUAAGUACAUCUGAGGACGUUCCACACAGCUGACUAAGCAUGAGUCCAUUCUGAAAUAGUAGCUCAGCAGAACUUGAAAUUAUUAUCUGCUGCAAAGAAGUCAUUAUUUCAACCAUUUUGAACCAAUAUAAUUUCUUUAAGAAUCCAUUUUUAGUUUUAUUACCGGUAAACCUGAUAUGAUUAGUGGACACUGUUUAGAUCAUAUACAAGUCACAAAUGUUGUCAAAGCUUUAUAUAUAUAUAUAUUAUUACUUUGUUUGGGAGAAUUAAAUUAAUUAAAGGGGUGAAAUAUUUUAUGUUGGAUUUCCUCGAAACAACAGCCCCCUUGCGUCAGAUUUGACAUCACUUCUUCCUGGUGACUUGAUUCGAUGCAGGGACCAUGCAAGGCUUGGUGCCUACUUUUAUGAUAAGAGGCUAGGAAUUAGUGUGUUGGGAGAUCUGCAUCAUUAGUGACCAGCAGGGGGCGCUGUCAACUCUGUAACAAUGGUGGUGGCGGGAUUCUGCAUGUAUCUGACACAUAAUAUUCAUCUUCACAAUUUCCUGCCUUUUUCUAUGAAGAGCGAGGCAGGUAAAUCUGUACACGUGAUCCAACCCUGGCCUGCUCACGACAUACUCAUUUCACACUUUACUAACAGUACUGUCUAUUAGCUCUGGGAGCCGUGGCACAUUGGAAAGUGUUGUCCUAGCUCCCCGAUUCUCACAGUAACCAGAUACUAAUAUAGAUGUUUACGUAGACUAGAUCGUGUCAUCUACCGUCUUUCUGUCCACUAGAAACAUCACUGUCUAUCUUCUGCAAAUGUAACGUUUAACUUGAGCAGUGUCUGAACCGUCCUACUGUUUGUACAUACUGUCAGCAUAAUCUUGUUGGUUGCAAGUUACUUCUGUUUUCUGGGAAGUGGUAUUGCGUUGUCCUCACUGCCUUGUGUAUGUUAUGCUUCGUGUUUAUAUUGGUGCUGCACUUUGCUCCCACAAGACAUCCUCCACAACCUGGGCUCAAUGAGGCAGACCGUCCCAGCAUGCACCAGUACAGGUUGGCCUCUGAAGCAGAUGUAAGUGGAAAGAGAUUGUCCUAUUUUUUCAGAUGUUUAUAUACCUACAGUUCUAUAUAGAGUGGAAGCUAUGUUAUAUUGUGCAUUAUUACACACUGGUGCAUGUUGUUAUCACAUUAUAUCUAAUAUGCUCAAUUCAUGAGAUGAUUUGAUUGGCUCUCAGAGCAGCUCAUGCAUUUCCAGACUGUUCCAAUUGGUGAUUCCCCCAGCCAGGCUUCAUCAAACAUAUUGCGCUUUCAUUGUUUUAUAUUGGUUGAAUCAUACAGCAGUUUGUAACACAAGCUCUCAUAGGUUGAACCAAAAUGUGCUCUGUUAUGAGGUGAUUGUUUUAGGGUUACAGAAUGUGUUCUUAUACAAUAUGCUUAUUUGAAUAUUUAAUAUUCUUUAAGAAUUUCUAUUUUUUAAAAGAAUCAUUUGAUUAAACAAAAUGGAGGCCAGGGCCCUGUUCAACAAAUCAGUUUUAGCGCUGUGACCAUCGUAAGCCAAUGUUAAGGCAUGGGAGUUACAAUCACUUUAGUGCUAAGAUUGCUUUGUAGAAUGGGGCUGGGGUCAGAAUAUGAAUGAAAGAAAGUAGAGUUGUCCUGAUUCAUCGAUGUCAGCUGAGUCAUUGUUGUGGCUAGCCACAGAGCCUGGCUGGAGGAGCAUCUAGUGUUGUGUAGAUGGAUAGGGGUCAAGGGUGCCAUACAUUUCUCUAGAAAGUGCCUUGGAGUGUGUGUACCUUUAACUGCGGUCGUAGACUAGAGUAGAGUAGGAUGGUAGAACUACAUGCUGCUACAUAUCUUGUGUAUCUGUGCACUGGCAACAUACAGCAUUCUCAGGAACACGCACAGAUCUGGCCACUGCUUGUAGGUAUUUUUGGGGUGCACCGAAUUUUUUUCUUUCUUUUUUUUCUUUUGAGGGGAAAAUUAGGAAAGAUUAAAUCGGACUUAAUCUUCAAAAUCUAAUAAGUACUUCAAGUAAAAUGUUUGGCCUAAAUCUUUAUAUGAUAUGGAAUUAAAUUAAAUAAUAUAAUUAAAUUAUGUACUUUUUUAUUCUGAAAUGUAGAUAGUUGUCCAACUGUCAGUGUUGAACCUUGGAAUGGUGGCCAUGUCAGCCAGUUGUGUGGACUUGUUGGUGCUCACUCAAUCUUCAUUGUUGUACUGCGAUCCAGAUUCUGUACUCCCUCUGCACGUGGACACUUAGUCGUGUCCACACCAGUCAUUAUAUAUAUAUUUAUUUCUUCUAUGAAGAUAUGUCAUGUGACACUUGAUAUUACCAGAACUAGCAGUAACAAUACAGAUGUUUAUGAAGCAUUCCAAUAGGGGUGAAACGAUACAGCAAGGCACGAUACGAUAUUUAGGUCACGAUACAAUACGAUACAUAAUGCGAUAGGCAUAUGUACGUCAAAUUGCAUGGAAACUUCUUGACAAUAAAAAUUUCAGGGCAGUUUCAAAAGGAAAAACUAGCUGAAGACACAUGUUCGUAGCAGCUAUUUUUAGUAGUGAACUUGAAACACCAAUUACAACACAUUUCGUGAUAUCUGACUGACGAAAACACCAGGGGUCAUUAAACAAGUAAUUUAUAUCAGCAAGUGUAUCGUCUUGUAUCGAUACAAAAACAACGUAUCGUAUAUCGUAUCGUAUCGUAUCGUCAGAUGAAAACUCACGAUGCACCGAUAUGUCGUUUCACCCCUACAUUCCAAGUGGUUAGCAAGAGGCCCAGUGUACUACUGCAGUGUCACUUGACGCAGUGUUGUGUCAACCUCUGCUGUGUAGGGUUGUCACCAUCAGUUUAUUUAACAAAAAGUAUUUGAACAGUUUUUGUUGAUCAGGUAAGAAUAUUUUUUCUUGUUUGACAUAUUGAAAUACCUGCUCUCUUGGAAAGUUGAUUUAAGUUAAUAUAAAUUAAAAAUUGUCAAUAUCAGCUGUACACAGAUCCAGAGGUGUGGUGUCGUGCACUUGAGAAGCAUACUGAUCAUGUUAUGUUUUCAAAGAUGGAAUCAUUUGGUGAAAUGUUUCUUCACAAAAAUAACUAUUAGUUUCCUUGUUUGGUUGACAAAUUGUUAUUUGCAUUGAUCUAGCAUUGUUUUUGUUUCAAUUGCACCUAAUUCCAGAACAUAUAAUUUUUUUUUUUUUUCAAAAAGUCUGUACUCCCCACCCCUCUUUUCCAAAUUGCUGUAUCUGUGCUUGUUACAGAGAUUGCUGUUUAGGAUUAUUUUAUCAAUUCUGAAAAAAUUGCAGGGGUUAUAACAGGAACAGGUGCCUUCUCAGUGCAAUCGUAGCUACGCUUCUAUUUUGAAGAAUACAAGUUUGAUAGUCGUAGCUAUGAUCGCCUUGUGGAACAGGGCCAGGUGUCGAAUAUGUCAAACGUGAAGAGAGUCAUGCCUGUCCUUAAAGGGUGUCAUGAGGCCUCACAGUACACAAUGCAUUUCAUCCUUGCUGUCCAUGAAGAAAUCGUCUCUCAUGCUUUAUGAUACUGAAACGGAUAUCUGUACCAAUUGAUGUAAUUUAUGAAGACAUUUAUGUUAUUCCAGAGCUACACUAAGUCUAGUUAAGUUUUGAUUCCAGUCACCAAUUUAUCUAACUUUUUACCUCCUCGUAUCAAGAAUUCAAUGUAGAACUGGCUUUAGGGUUAAAAGGUCACCAGAGUUCACAGUAUCAUUUUAGAUUAAAUUACUGCAAGGGUAUUUGUAUGAGGUCAAUAUUAUGACACCCUAUAAGAAAUACUUCAUUCCAGAACUGAAAAACUUUCAGUGAUAUGAAGGAAAAUAUAGGGGAUCAAUUUUAUAUUAUUUAAGACUAUUUAUUUCAAACUAUUCAUUUAUAUAGAUACAUAUUGUGUAUAUAUGUAUGUGCAUAUUUAUUUAUAUGUAUGUCUGUUUUCUUUUGUAUUUAUAGUUUUAUUAUGAACAUAACAUUUCUCAAAUUGAGCUGAUAGUAUUGCUUUUCAUGUUAGAUAUGGCCUUGAUCAGACAACUUUGUAGCCAUAUGGAAGUAGACAAGGCUUCUACAGUAUGACUGUCAGGAAUCCCCCCGCAUCUAGUCACGUGUCAAGCAAUGUAUCUGCAAGGUGUACUCCUCAAAAUCAUUUCUCUUCUACUUCACUAAGUGAAAGUAUGGUGCAUAAUAUUUGUGAUGAAUCUCACUGUCCCAUUCACUGUCAAUAGCCAUUGAUUGCAACUAUUUUGAUUAUCUAUAGUGCUAUAUAAAAUAUCUGAUAACCAGUAUGGCAGUAGUAAGGGGAGAUAACUGCUGUGUUCACAUCAAGGGAGAUAACAGUAUAUCUCACAGAUAAGACUCUCCAUUAGCAUAAUACUGAAGUAUCAAAUAGUCCUGUUAUUCAUGUGUUAUAAGAUUGGUUUGUGUAAAUGUUGAUAAGGAGAUUCAUGCAGUGUUUAUUUUAAGUUUCCAAGAAUAUUUAUUCUAAAUUAAUUUUCAAGUUUUCAAGCUUUUAAUCGAAUGUAUUUUCUCUCUGUGACCAAGUAAGCUGCAAAUUGUUCAGGAACUGGACUGGUCAGUGUACAUGUUUAUUUUCGUUUUGAUUUAUGUGUAAAUUAAGCGUUUCACUGUUUCUGUCAAUGUAUGAUAACUGCAACAGAUUUUGGUUUAAUUAUCAAUAUUGUAACAAUUUCAUUCCUGGGGCAGAUAUGUUGGUGUUUUAUUGUCUUUGCCGAGUUAUCAAAUUUAGGUCAAGGGAAAUGUUAAGAAUGUCUGUGCCUUGAGACAAGAGUCCAUACUGUUCUGGAUACAAUUGAUGAUUCCUCUUUCAGUUUUCAUUAUCAAAGAACUUUUAAUGGAUAUUUUUUGUACAUACUAAUCAUUAGAGAUUGUUGUGAUGAUUGGACUUGUAUUUUAAAAGGGCUUUUACAUGAUCAGUCCAAGAAGAUGUUCACUGAAAAAUGUAUCACUAUCAACAUUAUAUUGUCAAUUUUGUGCAAUACUUUAUUUUAUUUUAUGUUGUCACUAUGAAUGUUACAUCUUUUUUGUUGGAACACUUUAUGUUCAUGUAUUUAUUCACACAAAAAUGCCAUGAAUGUUUUGUAAUCAUUAUUUUCCAUUUAAGGGCAUAAUUGUUGUUUUCUUUAUGGUAAAUAAGAUCAAAUACUGAUAUUUUGAAUCAGUAAUUAUACAAGUUCUUUUUCCCAAUAAAAACUUACAAAAAUA
rnacentral:misc_RNA from 1 species